UUGUGUGGUCGAUGACCAUUCAGUUUUAAACAAAAAACAAAAAAAAAGGAAAGAACAAAAUUUUCUGUCUCGAUGUUCUUUAACGGAAAACGAUUUCCAUGGUGAAACUCAUGAUAUGAACGGCCGCGGCGUACUUCCGGUGGUAAAGAUGGAAGCGUCUGCUUGAAGAGGUUAAGAUCGACGGUAGCAAAUCAAAGAACUAUCGAGGUUUUCAGAUUUGCUGGAAAACUUCAUGAUGAUCCAAACUCGAUAGAUCCACAGAGGACUUCUCUGUUUCUGAUCUAUUUAGGCAUCCGUGGAAGACACGAUGAGUUUGAGAUGGUUGACGAACUUCACAGUUUCAGCUCUGUUUGACAUAGUCCAAAGAAGAUUUGAAAGACCAAAAAUGGAAUAAUAAACUUUCAGAGAAGAUAUUCAUAUUCCAAAUACGAAGUUCUGGGUUUCAUUCUUCUAUGAAGAUAAACAUGAUUUUAAAAUAAAAGAUAAGUUUUUUUCCAGAUUCUUUGUCUUCUUUUACAUUAAUAUAAAUCGUACUUCAUAGAGAAAUAGCAUUAUUAGUUUAUUAAUAUAUGUUUGAAUUUUACAUUUGACAGCAGGGAUAAAUUUGGAUCCAGAUAAAUAUGUUAGAAGUAAACAUUUACCAUCACGAAAAGGGAGAUCAUGGUGAUACCAAAAGUAGUACAUGUCUAGCAGUUAAAAGUUUAGAGACAGAAGCUUUAUACAUUUGAAGGACAUGGGACAAAGACAUGGCUGCAAAUAAAUACAAACCCAAGGUAUAGGGUUUGAGAAAAAGAAAACAUGAUUUGAUGGGGUUUUCAUGGUAUAGAACCUUGAUCAUGAAGAUGAAUUUGAUGGACUGAACAAUCAUUGCUCAGUGUAUUUUAAAACGAAAAGGGUAGACUGCAGCGGGGCCUUAAUAUGUAUGUUGGGCUAUAACGGGCUAUAAUCAAAGGUUUCUGAUUGGUCUGAUUAUUUACGAUUUUCAUUAAAAAAUGACAAUGGCAUUUGGCUGUAAAUAACUUGAAAAAGCAGGGACAAAAACCUAUUAGUGGAUAAACAAAUUACAGGAAAGAAAAUCUGGAAACUGGUGGCUAAGUUUAAACAAUAAACUAGUAGGAUAUUGGACGGAGGAAUUAUUUACGACCUUAGCUGAUCAUGCGGAGUCCAUAGAAUGGGCUGGCGAAAUCAUCAACUCACAGAGUUUCAGCCGAGACACGAAGACCCAGAUGGGUUCUGGCCACUUCCCUGAUGAAGGCUUCGGGAAAAGCGGCUAUUUUCGCAACUUGGAAGUUGUCUAUGACAACAACAGUCUCCAAUCAAUCCAAAACUUGAAGGCAAUAACAACAAAUCCAGAAUGCUACAAAAUCAAAGAUCUUCGUACAAGAGAAUGGGGGCACUCAUUUCUUCUUCGGAGGCCCAGGGUUUGGCCAAACCGUUUGGGCGGGAUUCAGGGGCCGUUUCUUCGGCAUUGAGAUUUGGUUUUUUAUAUCUUUUUGAGCUUAUUUGCUAUUAUCGUUUAGUAUCUGUCUUUUUAUAUUUUAACUAUGUUGUAAAAGAAAAAAACUUAUGAGUGGGUUUUGCAUUCUACAUUUGUGCUU